AACGAACGCUGGCGGCAGGCUUAACACAUGCAAGUCGAACGCAUCCUUCGGGGUGAGUGGCAGACGGGUGAGUAACGCGUGGGAACGUGCCCUUCAGUUCGGGAUAACCCAGGGAAACUUGGGCUAAUACCGGAUACGUGCGAGAGCAGAAAGAUUUAUCGCUGAAGGAUCGGCCCGCGUCUGAUUAGCUAGUUGGUGGGGUAAUGGCCCACCAAGGCGACGAUCAGUAGCUGGUCUGAGAGGAUGAUCAGCCACAUUGGGACUGGGACACGGCCCAAACUCCUACGGGAGGCAGCAGUGGGGAAUAUUGGACAAUGGGCGCAAGCCUGAUCCAGCCAUGCCGCGUGAGUGAUGAUGGCCUUAGGGUUGUAAAGCUCUUUCGUCCGGGACGAUAAUGACGGUACCGGAAGAAGAAGCCCCGGCUAACUUCGUGCCAGCCGCCGCGGUAA
rnacentral:rRNA from 1 species